ensembl:lncRNA
AGCGCUUCAAAACCUAGAUCCACCCCUGGAUUAAUCUGGAAAAGGAAGCAGUGGGUUUGGAAAAUGGCUGUAGUCUCGCCUAAUGCAAAAAUGCAAGCUUCCAGGUCUAAGACAUCAACACAUGUGUCAAGGACCCUCCAUUGUGGAGAGGGACACAAUUGUCUUUCUAAGCAGACAAGGAGCUGUAGAAGAUAGCAUAUGUGAGGCUCAUGAGAGAGGGACAAACUCGUCCCAGUUUCCCUGAGAUGGCACCAGUUUUAAAAUCUAAAGCAUUUGGUCUCGGAAACCCACUCAGUUCUGGGCAAACUGGGAGGAUGGGUCACCCUCCUUGUUGAGGAUAAACGCAUAUCACUGUUGGUCACCACGGAGCUCCCAAGUAGCUGAUUGCUUGGCGUCAGGUAGGGGUCCGGUAACUCUUCGUUGAGUGAGUGGUGUGUAAACCAACCAUGGUGCCCUGUGAGCUGGAGGAGGGAGCUGCAUGGGCUGCUGGGGGUGGGGGAGCAGGUAGAUUGCCUGGAAAUCCAGGGUGCAAAUCAAGCCUGCGAUGGUGAAGUUGGAUCAGAGAGCUUGGAUCAUUAUUGGAGGGAGGAACGUGGAAUAUGAUGAGGGCAACCACCCACACACAGACAUGAAGAAACACAGGACAGCCUGCAAUGUAUUAUUCUGCAAGAGUAACAAAGACAAACAAUUAGCGGACUACUGAAUUCGAGUGGAUUUACUAUGGUGGAUGUUUACCUAAACAGAAGUCUGGGCCUUGAUUCUCUGGAGGCUUGGAAGUUCAAGAUCAAGGUGCCAGCAGCUUCAGUGUCUGGUAGGAGCCCACUUCCCAGUUCAUAGAUGACUGUCUUUCUGCUGUGUCCUCACAUUGGUGUUUUAUAAGGGCACUAAUUCCAGUCACAAGGGCUCCACCCUCAUGACCUCAUCACCCAAGGGCCCCAGCUCCUAAUACCAUCUCAUUGGAAGGUUACAUUUUAACACAUGAAUUUUGAGAGAUCACAAAUAUUCAGCCCAUAACACAGAGGGCCUGCAAAGUUUUCCCUCUGUUCCUUAAUGAUCCAGAAAUAAAAAUGUGAAUAAGAAAUCGGAAUAUCAAAGCUAGGACACAAAAGUCUGUCACUUGCUAUGGAUGGCUGAAGUCAGGGCGAGAAAGAGAUACUUUUAGAGAUGUCUCUAGAUACUUAGGCUCAUUUUAAUAUCUGAUUAUGUAGGUUGUGUUGGGUUGGCCAAAAACUUCCCUUGGAUUUUUCCAUAACAUCCUACAGAAAAACCUGAACAAAUCUUCUGGCCAACCCAAUACACGGUCCAGUGUGGCCACCCCUGGCCAUGCAUUAUCUUUCGUUUCUGCGCUCUACUGGUGAUGAGAUAGGAGAUGGGCAGAUGUCUUCUCAGAUAGAUGACUGUUCUCAGCACCAUGGACUCAUUUUUCAGAAACAAAUAGUUCACAGCCUAUUUUGAAUCUUGCCAUAUGACCUUUUCCCAGUUGGAAGAUUCUAAAUAGUCUCACAGUACUCAGAGAUUAAUGGUGUGGAGAAGAAACAAAUUUAUCUUUUUUUGUUUUAUGAUGACCUUUAUUGUGUUCUAGAUAACCUUUUAUGAUGACCUUUAGUGUUCGAGAUAAAACACUCAUUAAGAAUUGGAGAGCAGAAAGACCUAGAAGAUGGCAGAGGCACAGAAAGAAGCAAAAGAUGUCCUUGUCAUUUAAUCAGCUUGCUAAGUUCCAGGACUUUACAUUAAAAAAGAAGGAAUAGUUGCUUAGGCUAUUAUUAAAAGCAAACAAUAAAACUCUGGCUGAAGAAUAGUUGGCUAGUAAGAGCAAUCCGAGGAUAAGUUAAAACUUGGAUGCAGUCUGCUGGGUUAAGAUACUUUCCCUGCAGAUAAAUAAAUGUAUAGUAAAGCUCAUUGCUACUCUGAAAGUAAUUUGGCUUCAGCUUGCACUGGCAGAUGGUUGUAUGUAUAAAUAUUUGCUCAUGGCCAUUACUAUUAUUAAUGUAUACCAUUUGGGAAGUUUCAGAGUUCUAGUCAUAUGGAUUUAUUAGGAAAUGUUCUCCUGUCUGGGAGAUGUGCAUUGCUACAGUCUUCCUCUUUUGCAGUAAAGUGUGAGUCAAGCGAAAAAAUCUGAAAGUGGACACACUGAAGAGGGUAAAAGACUAGCUUUAUUUUUACCCAUGUCACCCCUUCGCAAGGUGACACACCUUGGUGCCAAAAGAGGACCCUAAGCCUGUGGUUUCUCCCAUGGGUGGACAUGAGAGCAAAAUGAGCACCUGGCUUCCUCAUCCCUGUGGGACGAUCCCCAGGAGGCUAGUUCCAUCCGGCCCCAUGCAGAACAUGGAGGGGUGGGGGCAGGGAUCUCCAGGGCUGCAUCAUCCAGGGGCAGUGAGGAACAGCUAGGAGCAGAGACAGAGGAUGCAAAUUCACAAGCAGCAUGUGGAUCUCAUAAUCUGGACACAGUCCUUUUCACUGGCUUGCAGACCCUACCAAGAGGCCUGUCCAUGAAACCUUCAGGACAACCUACCUGCAAACCCCCGAUCAGCCCAUGUACUCUGCAAGCCCCUGUGCGUGACCGCCUACAAGCUCUUGCAAACGAUGUAUGUGAGGCCCUGCUCAGAGAACUACAGAGGCCUACAGAGAUCUCGAGAGUAGGAAUGGAUGUCAGCGGCUAACUGGACUCUCUGAACUGGACUGGGUGUACAGCUUUGAAAUUUCAAGGUACUGCUCAAGGGGACAUGAACAGGAGGCUCUAAGCACCCAGCUUGGCUUUGGGGGAUCAAGAGAAGACACACAAUGCUAAGGCUUCCCCCCUUAGAGGGAACAAGAGGAGCAGAGCUAGUAUAUCCCAGGGUCUCUAGCUGGGCUGACUGGUAAAUGUCAUUCUUCCCUGAAGCCAGUCACUAAAAGCUGGAGCUGGUGGCAGCUUCUUCAAACGCAAAAACAGGAGGCCUGGGGAACACAAAACCUCAGGGAAACAUGGCCCCUCCAAAGGAAUGAAAUCAAACUACAGUGGUGGCGCACAAAGAAAUGGGAAUUGAUGAACUGCCUGACAAAGAAUUCAAAAUCACCAUCUAAAAGUAGCUCAGUGAACUAUAAGAAAACACAGACAACUAAAUUAAAUCAGGAAAACAAUACUUGAACAAAAUGUGAAGUUUAAUAAAGAAAUAGUAAGCAUGUAAAAGAACCAAACUGAAAUGUCUGAACUGAAAAUUCAAUAAAGAGUUUCAACAACAGAGGUUUGGAAAAAGCAUUUCAUCAAUAAAGAAACACAAUGGCAAAGAAGCACACGAAAAGAAGCUGAACAUCAUUAGACAUCAGGGAAGUAAAAAUGAAAGCCGCAAUGAGAUACUACUACAUAUAAAAUUAAAUGGGUGACUGCAUCAAGGGUAGAUGAGAAGGUAGAGGAACUGGACCUCCGGUAUACUGAUGCGAAUGUCAAAUGGAAGGAUUGGUGUAAAAAAGCUCAGUAGCUUCUGAAAAUGUUAACUAUCUACUGCCAUAUGACCUUGCUAUGCUUUUUUUUUAAAGUUGCUCAGUCACAUCCAUCUCUUUGGGACCCCAUGGGGUAUAUAGUCCAUGGAAUUCUCCAGGCCAGAAUACUGGAGUGGGCAGCCUUUCCCUUCUCCAGGGGAUCUGCCCAACCCAGGGAUCGAGUCCGGGGUCUCUUGCACUGCAGGCGGAUUCUUUACCAGCUGAGCUACCAGGAAAGCCCAAGAAUACUGGAAUGGGAAGCUUCUCCCUUCUCCAGCAGAUCUUCCCCUCCCAGGAAUCAAACUGGGAUCUCCUGCAUUGCAGGUAGAUUCUUUACCCACUGAGCUUCCCUAGCUAUUCUACUCAGGGGUAUUUACCCAAGAGAAAUAAAAGCUU